rnacentral:rRNA from 1 species
AGAGUUUGAUCCUGGCUCAGGACGAACGCUGGCGGCGUGCCUAACACAUGCAAGUCGAACGGAGAUAUUGAGUAGCUUGCUACAAGAUAUCUUAGUGGCGGACGGGUGAGUAACGCGUGGGCAACCUGCCUUACAGAGGGGGAUAACAGUGCGAAAGCACUGCUAAUACCGCAUGAUAUUGCGAUUCCGCAUGGGAAUGCAAUCAAAGGAGAAAUCUGCUGUAAGAUGGGCCCGCGUCUGAUUAGCUAGUUGGUGAGGUAAAAGCUCACCAAGGCGACGAUCAGUAGCCGAUCUGAGAGGAUGAACGGCCACACUGGAACUGAGACACGGUCCAGACUCCUACGGGAGGCAGCAGUGGGGAAUAUUGCACAAUGGGGGAAACCCUGAUGCAGCAACGCCGCGUGGAGGAUGAAGGCCUUCGGGUUGUAAACUCCUGUCUUUUGGGACGAAUAAUGACGGUACCAAAGGAGGAAGCCACGGCUAACUACGUGCCAGCAGCCGCGGUAAUACGUAGGUGGCAAGCGUUGUCCGGAAUUAUUGGGCGUAAAGGGCGCGUAGGCGGCGUCUUAAGUCAGAUGUGAAGACCCCGAGCUUAACUUGGGAACUGCAUCUGAUACUGGGAUGCUAGAGUGCAGGAGAGGUAAGUGGAAUUCCUAGUGUAGCGGUGAAAUGCGUAGAUAUUAGGAGGAACACCAGUGGCGAAGGCGACUUACUGGACUGUAACUGACGCUGAGGCGCGAAAGCGUGGGGAGCAAACAGGAUUAGAUACCCUGGUAGUCCACGCUGUAAACGAUGGAUAC